AUGAUUUAUCUGGUCCAACUUACAGGUCUAGAUUGUGUUGCGGUCAUCAACAUAAGGACAAACAGUGCAGCCUGCAGAACUGCCAUUGUGUCUCUUCCUGUAUCUUGGCAAUCUCUCCUCACUAUUGUAGCGGUUACUUGCAGCCAAGCAGUAUGUUCCCCUCAGUGUCUUGAAUGUCCAAAUAUCUCACCAGGGCACAGCUUUUAUAAAGCCAUUCAAAUCUGUGGGUGCUAAAUAAUGCUAAACCCUCAUAUAAUUUAUGUUCUCCCACUGUCAUGCCACCUCAUCUCUACCCAUCAAAGGUGAAAUAUUUUAACACCCACAAAUAGACUGAAAUUAGAACGCUGAAGUUUUGCUUUCAGGAUAAUGAGUAAGAGCAGCAGAAGUGGCUUCAUAACCAAACUAAACAUGUGUUUUGUGGGUUUAGACCAAACAAUAGAAAAGAUACGUUUUAGACUUUAAAUACACGUGGAGGACACAAAUUCCAGACAAAGUGUCACGUUUUAUUUACACGAAAUACUGACAGGCAAAAGGGGAGGAAAACCACAAAAAAAAGCUUUGGGUUUGUAGAUGUCUGCAGAUAUUGUACGGGAAUGCCAAGUAGUGGCACAACUGUUUUUAAUCAAAUAUAAGCUUAAUUAAAUCUAGCAGGAGCUUUUCCUUCCUGCAUGUGAUCAUCAAUAGCCCUCUUUCAAAGACCAAUUUGAAAAAGCUAUGUUGUGGCUUCCCUUUGAUUCAUAAAUGUGUAAUCUGUCUAGCGUGAGACACAUGAAAAAUGUGUGUGGCAAGUUAUAUUGGUGUAAACAUGUUGUAUUCAAGUCUAUAGAAGGCGGGCUGUGUUAUGUAAAGUGAGCCACCAUCUGAAAUCAACCCUAAGCAGCCCAACAACCAAAACCAAAGUAACUGUAGAUGUUAGCCGCGUUUACAUGGGCAAAAGUAAUCGGAAAGAACGCCUGAUCGGAAAGAAAAUGCGUCAUGUAAACGCGCCGUUCGGAAUACUCUGCCCCGAUCAGACUCGUUCGGAUCAGAAUUUCUUUCCGAUCGAGAUAGGUGGGUUAUACCGAUCGUUUAUCCGAUCGUGGAGCAUGUAAACGGUCAUUCCGAUCAUGUGUCACUGCUGCUCUGGGUUACGUCACGCAUAGACGGUGCUUCGCUGAGAGAAAGCUUUGGACCAGCUCUGCGGACGCCCCGUGAAAAGCGCCGCUCUGCUCUCGCCCCGCUGCCUCUCUGCCUCUCCCUCCUUCACGAGGGGUAUGCAGGGCAGCAGCGCUUUGGUCCACUGGCACCCGAGCCCCGGUGCCAGUGGACCAAGUGAGCAGAGGAGCCAGAUAACUUUGUGUGUGAAGGGAGGGAGGGAUGCUUAGUUACGUGUGCGUUUUGUUGUUUUGUUAUGUGUGGUAGAAUUCAGACUGCGAGCCGUCCCGCCACUCUGGGUUAGCGGCUGCAGGACUCAGGAGGAACCGUGUUUGGGGCGGUGUGUGAACGUCUCAGAGCAGAAAUAAAUGUUGCUCAGCCCUUAGAAGCUGUCCCGGCAAAAUAAAGGCCGAUGUUAUUCCCACAUAUUUACGUGCUGCCAAGAUGUAGAUUACUGCCUGUCUCGCACGGUCCUGGAUUUUGUGUCCACAAGCAAGGCUAAUGUUGUUAGCGCGUGUUUUUAGCCUGUCCUAACUCUUCCAGCUCCGUUCUUCAACAUAAAAAGCAAUGACCACACGGAUUAAAUAAACGAUGAGCGAGCAGGCGCUUCAUACUAUUCAUAACAUUAAUAAAAGCACGUUUGGAAGAUCGCCUCGUGUUACAGAGCUGCUGCACUAAAGUCUGUAGCAGCGGUCUGUUUACAACGAGGCGCAUCUCUUCUUCCGGGUUUUUUUUUUUUACCACUACUGCGCAUGCCCAAACGAUUUAUUCCGACCAAAGGUGUGAGCCAUGGGGACGCUUGUUCUAAUCGGAAAAAGGUUUUCUGAUCCCAUGUGCAGGGGUGAAUUUUAACCCGACCAUUGAUCCGAUCAAGAUAUUCUGCCCAUGUAACCGCGGCUGAAUCAACUCAUGACCGCAGCCACUUCUGAGGACGCACAGCUAGUUUGAGCUGUGUGCAGGAUCAUACUAUGCCUCUGGGAGCAUCCAGCCAGGUCUCCCCUGGGGCAUGGGACCCAGGUGCCACCAGAGAAGACUGAGGGGGUGACCAGGGAGGUGAAGAAUUGGAACAGCACUGAGGACAAGGCACUGCAGAGAAGAAAUGGCCACCCACUACAGUGGUUAAGAGGUGCCCCAUCUCCAACACAAGGUCUGCAAUCAGUUGGGCAGCCACAUUGGCCCAGCAUGU
rnacentral:lncRNA from 1 species